rnacentral:hammerhead_ribozyme from 1 species
GCACUACCGAAGAGUUCCACAAUAGAACGAAACGGUCGUCCAGUGC